GUCGUCAGCUCGUGUCGUGAGAUGUUGGGUUAAGUCCCGCAACGAGCGCAACCCUCGCCCUUAGUUGCCAUCAUUCAGUUGGGCACUCUAAGGGGACUGCCGGUGAUAAGCCGAGAGGAAGGUGGGGAUGACGUCAAGUCCUCAUGGCCCUUACGGGCUGGGCUACACACGUGCUACAAUGGUGGUGACAGUGGGCAGCGAGACCGCGAGGUCGAGCUAAUCUCCAAAAGCCAUCUCAGUUCGGAUUGCACUCUGCAACUCGAGUGCAUGAAGUUGGAAUCGCUAGUAAUCGCGGAUCAGCAUGCCGCGGUGAAUACGUUCCCGGGCCUUGUACACACCGCCCGUCACACCAUGGGAGUUGGUUUUACCCGAAGGCGCUGUGCUAACCGCAAGGAGGCAGGCGACCACGGUAGGGUCAGCGACUGGGGUGAAGUCGUAACAAGGUAGCCGUAGGGGAACCUGCGGCUGGAUCACCUCCUUUCUAAG
rnacentral:rRNA from 1 species